AUUGUUUUUUGAGGUAAAUUCCAUGAUGCAUCUGAAAGUGUUUUUGAGUUGAGAGUGUUUUGCAUAUGAACUGAACACUCGCUUAAAACUCCACUGAUGAUUAUUAGUGUCUGACACCGACACACACACACACACACACACACACACACACUCACACACACACUUAAAACAAUGAUGUCUCUUAUUCUAAUGCUGUGGACACUCGGUCUGCUCGCUCAAGUGUCUCAUCAAGAGGUUCAGUCUCCUGAGUCUCUGAGUGUUAAAGCAGGAGAGUCAGUCUCUAUGAGCUGCACUGGGACCAGUGGAGUUGGUGAUGACAUGAGCUGGUAUCUGCAGAAACCUGGAGAAGCUCCUAAACUCCUGAUCUAUAAAGCAAGUCGACUUCAAUCUGGAGUCCCAGAUCGGUUCACUGGAAGUUAUUCUGGACUUCAUUUCACACUGAAUCUACGUGGAGUCCAGCCUGAGGAUGCAGGAGUUUAUUACUGUAUGGGGUAUUACGGUAGCAGGUUCACACAGUGAAACAACAUCAUACAAAAACCUCCCUCAGUCAGACACUACAGAGAACAUGAGAGUAAUUUCAGGCUAGUUGCCUUGUACAACAGUUGAACAAAAGGACAUGAACACUUAAAGGCCUAAUGAAGAUGUUCCUAAGUAUUUAGCUAUUUAUUCACUUCAAUUGUCAUUUCAUACUUAGCAGAAAUGAAUAUAUGUGCAAUUUUGAUCUCAGCCUCAUUGUGGACAGAAGCUUGUUUUUAUGAUUAUAGGCUAAAAACAAUUAAAGCUUAUUAUAUGCAGCACAAAAAUACAUCACAUUAUAUUUAAUAUGAACAUGUGAACUCAUGCCAUCAAAACAUACUGAAACUAUUCUCUUUUUUAAUAUUACUUCAAUAUUUUUCAGUAUAAAAAAAUUAUGUUAUUAUUCAUAUUACUCACAUCCACAAUAUUACAUAUGUACAAUAGACUUUGUUAAAAUUGUAUACUAUAAAAUUAAUUAUCAAACAUGAAAAAAAGAUAUUUAACAGGUAUUUAAAAAUGUAUUUGAAGUUGCUGGUAUACAAAGUAAUAUCAUAAGACAUGUUCUUGGAUUAGUUUGUCCUGGAACAACAUAAGUGUCAAAGAAAUAUCCAAACUCCAUCCCUCAACACAACUCUAAACAUAUUACCAAAAGAAUUACAGGGAAAUUAUAGGUUGUUGUCCAGAAAUGUUGUCCAAGCCUUAACCUAAAUAUGACCCUUUCCCAAUUCUUAAAAUAUAAUUAAUUUACAAGGAUUAUCAAGAAUGUUGAUCUAACAAGUCCAAAAUGGCAAAAUCAGGAUUACCACAAUCCAUCUUUCUGCAGCACACCGAUACUCAGAGAAUCCCUUACUGCAGACACACAUGGCUUCAAACACAGGAUUAUAUUUGGCAUUCAUAAUAUUUUCAGAUUAAAUAGAUUUCAACGAGUUGCGACGUUGAAAUUUUUUUCAGGGUUUUUUUUUUUUUUUGUGCUCUAUAAUCUCAAUUAAAAU